CGGGGGAGGCGGGAUCCUGGGCUGUGUCCCGGCGCCCUGUGCUCCGGGGCCUGCGCUGUUGGAUUCGCCCUCCCGCCCCGCAGCCCCCU
rfam:Canis lupus familiaris chromosome 31, whole genome shotgun sequence.